ensembl:lncRNA
UUUUUUGUCUGAAAUAAAUAUUUAUUAUGUGUUUCAAAUACAAAUGGAAUUGUUUUUAUUUCUGUCAACAUAAAACGAUUACAGUAUAAACCAGAUUACUUCUGCCACACAUAAGACAAAAUAAUGGAAGUGAAGGACAUUCAUUAGGUAAGUGCUCAGUGUAUUUUCAUUUUACAGACUGUAUAAUGUGAUAAAUAUAUACUGUACAUUUACCAAACGAGUCACAGAGAAAUACAGUGUUUGACCUUUGAAGAGAAAAAUCACUACAACAAUAAAAAGGUUACAUUUUCAUGGAUUUCAGCCAGUUGUGUUCAUAUUUGUUUAUGGAGGGUAAUGUUUAAAACAAUGUUAUUUUUUAAAUAGCAAAAUAUAUCCCAUAAUUUGACAGUUGGAUGACAAAAUCCUGUAAAAUGUUGUUGUUUUCUGUGCAUUAUGGUUUUGGAACUCAAACAUAAAAAACAUAGCUUUGUAGAUUUAGUCAAUGUCCCCCUCAAGACUGCCUGUGUGUGUACCUCGGGACGGCUUCCAGUACUGAUAAGUGAUAAGUCUGGCUCACUCUGUACAGGUCAUAAUGAUGAUUCAUAAAAUGAAAAAACAUUUUAAAAACAUUUUUAGUGAAAAAAAAUAAAAACUGUCCAAGUGCAGAGGCAGCACAUAAGGUCAAGAGUGUCUUUUGUUAAAAUCUGAGGUUUCUCAUGAGAGCGUUUGUCAAAAAGGACCCGACCUGUAGUGGAUGCUUUCUGUGCUGACACUAUGAAAGCCACAUACCAACACUAUGAUGGUGACUGGAGAUAAGGUCAGUUACUAGUCACCAGUGUUGGUCAAGUUACCUGAAAAAAGUAAUCAGUUACUAAUUACUGAUUACUUCCCCCAAUAAGUAAUCCCGUUACUUUACUGAUUACUUAUUUUCAAAAGUAAUUAGUUACUUAGUUACUUUUAAAAACACAAUUUACAACCUGAAUAGGUAAAGCAAUAGAUCUUUCAGCCCAAUUCUACUUUUUCUGCAUAAUCCAUCAUACAAAAUGUAAUCAAAUGGAAACGUCUCUUUUUAAAACUUUAAAUCUUUUAACUUUAUGCAUCAAGCAAAAACUUAAUUAUAUGCAACAUUCUCUGACUGGAAGAAAUUUGUUUAACAUUUAAACCUAUUUUCUGCACAUUCCAGCACAUAAAAUAAAAUAUUUUUUUGUGUUUACACUCACUCUUUCAAAUAGAUGAAAGUAAAACACAGCAGAAAAUAAAAUCAAAGACUAGCGGUCCUGUUGCUCUAUUUUCACCUGUAAAGCAGGAGUGGGGUAGGCGGAGGUUUACCCUGGUGCAGGUGUGCCGCGGCGGUCAGUGGAAGAAUCCGCGAGUUUCUCUGUGAGUUUCACAAAUGGUUUCACAUUACGUCGUAGCGCACUCGCUGCUUGCUUAGAAGUUUAGGGGUUUUUUUCGCUGUAAAAAGAAGUUUUCUUCCCACGCACAACGGACACUAAUGUUUUUGUCACUUUUUAUGGAAUCAAACUCAAAAUAAGAUCUCAUUUUUGGUCUGCAAUGAUUGUGCGAUUGACUGCACUGAAGGCCACACUUACCUGCGCAGAUGAAGAAGAUUGGCAGCAGCAAAGUCUCCGACCACUACGCCUUACCUCCUUCGCGUUAUCAGGCACCUUUACACAGACCAACAAACAGUCUUGCUGUCUCUGGCUCAUAUCGAGCCCCCUGAGGAAGUCCAAGUUGUUCUCAGGAGGGGUGUUUGGUUACACGCUUCCUCUGUAGCUCACUUGCAACUUCUGAAGAUCACACAGUGGCUUAAGGGCUGUUGACAGCAGCCAUAAGACAGGUAGUGUUCCUGACACUGCAGUGGUUUUGACAUUUUUUAGGUGGUGGGUCAUCUACACUUGUUAGUUGUGGUUUGCUUCUGAUAAGUGAUCCAUUUCCUCUCUCCCACAUUUUGUUUUCCUCCCCGCUGUCUGUCAGGGCCUUGGGGUCACGGUCCCAUAAAUCCCACCAUUCAGCAACUGUGCAAACAGACUGGGUUUUCCUUUUCAAAGUUUUUUACAAGAUUAUUUUUUAGGACCAAUUUGCUUCAUGCAGUUGAAAUGACUGCUGACAAAGUAGUGAUAGGCUAAAAUAACUUUUCAUGCAGCCCUAUAUUACAUUAGUAAUGCAAGAUAGUUUUCAAAUGGGGAUUUUGUAACAAUGUGCCUACUGUGCAUGUGUGUUUUUGCUAGUAAGGAUAGUCAGAUCACUCCUCAGCUCCCUAUGUACAAACCUAAAUUCUCCAUUCUGUUUUUAUUCUGUUAAUUUGUCUUGUUGAGCUUUACAAAAUGACACUUUCUCCAGCUGAAUAUUCAGUUUUGUUUUCUCUGCUUCCUUCCCUCACUGGAGUGUUAAUUCCUUGAAAUGCACAUAAUGGUUUCCACAUUUGACAUUUCUUGUAUUUUCUAGUUAUGAUGCACAACAAUAAAGAGAAAGAAAAGAGACCCUUUCCUAUUUUGUUAGUCUGCAUUUAAAAGGUAGACAUACAUUUAACAUUUAAGGUUUCAACUUUCACUUCAAUCACGAGCAUACACUUUUAAAAAAAAGGAAAGAAAAAGGAUGUGUAUAAAGACAUGAUGUCCAUCUGCUUCCUGGACAUUCCCACAAACUAAUGAAUUUAUCUCGUGGGAGGAAAAAGUGAAAACAGAUGUUGCCAUGGAAUGUUGAAAAGCAUUUUCUUCUCUUUGUAUUUUCCUCUCUUAUGUGCACAUGCGAUGUUUGUCCCUCUAUAAAACCACAUAUACUGUCAGUGAUGUAAAUUCACAAAUUUUUAUAUUGCAGCUGGUUUUACAACCUAUGCAGCAAUCCAUCCAGCCAGCACUUGUAAAUCAUUUUACGAAACCCAAAACUGAUACAGAUAAAAAGUUCUACAGUCACGUACCUCUGUUCUUAUCCAGCCGUCGUAGAUCCCUG